rnacentral:sRNA from 1 species
AUCAGGCAUGGUGGUGUGUGCCUAUAGUCCAGCUACUUAGGAGGCUGAAGCAGGAGGGUCACUUGAGUCUAGGAGCUCAGGGUUAGCCUGGACAACAUAGUGAGACCCCAUCUCUU